UUUACCGGUUCUAAUCUUUUUUCCUCUAAUAUAAAGUGAACGAUAUCUCUAAACAACAAUAUCGCAGUGAUGGAGAAUAGAUUAGUUGUUGCUAAAGAUUAGAGUUGGGGGGAGAAUAUGCUUAUAAAGGGGUAAUUAAAAAACAUUGUCUUUGGUGAAUUAGAACAGAUCAGAAAUCUGAUUUUCAUGGGGGUUACACAGUGCAUUGUUGUUCUUGUUUAGUUGCUAAGUCAUGUCUGAAUCUUUUGGGGACCACAUGGACUAUAGCUUGCCAGGCUCCCCUGUCCAUGGAAUUUCCCAGGCAAGAAUACUGGAUUGGAUUGUCAUUCCUUUCUUCAAGGGAUCUUCCCAACCCCAAAUGGAACCCAUGUCUUCUGCACUGGAGAAUGGUUGGAUGACAUCCGACUCAAUGGAAGUGAUUUUUAGCAAAUUCUGGGAAAUAGUGAAGGACAGAUGACCUUCCUGGUUUUGAAGAUGACCAACAUAGAUAGUAUAUUCAAAAGCAGAGGCAUUACUUUGCCAACUAAGGUCCAUCUAGUCAAGGCUAUGGUUUUUCCUGUGGUCAUGUAUGGAUGUGAGAGUUGGACUGUGAAGAAGGCUGAGUGCCAAAGAAUUGAUGCUUUUGAACUGUGGUGUUGGAGAAGACUCUUGAGAGUCCCUUGGACUGCAAGGAGAUCCAACCAGUCCAUUCUGAAGGAGAUCAGCCCUGGGAUUUCUUUGGCAGGAAUGAUGCUAAAGCUGAAACUCCAGUACUUUGGCCACCUCAUGCGAAGAGUUGACUCAUUGGAAAAGACUCUGAUGCUAGGAGGGACUGGGGGCAGGAGGAGAAGGGGACAACCAAGGAUGAGAUGGCUGGAUGGCAUCACGGACUCGAUGGACAUGAGUCUGAGUGAACUCCGGGAGUUGGUGAUGGCCAGGGAGGCCUGGCGUACUGCGAUUCAUGGGGUCACAAAGAGUCGGACAUGACUGAGUGACUGAACUGAACUGAACUGAAUCAUUUGAAAAUUUAUGUGUACAUCAACGAAUCAGGUUGUUUACCUUAAAUAUAUACAAAUUUUUAUUUUUUAAAAAAGAAGUGCCUUCUAAGAAAGUUGCUUUCUGAAAUGUUGUUGAUU
rnacentral:lncRNA from 1 species